rnacentral:misc_RNA from 1 species
UCCGGUUUAUCACCGGCAGUCUCAUUAAAGUGCCCAACUAAAUGAUGGCAAUUAAUGACAAGGGUUGCGCUCGUUGCGGGACUUAACCCAACAUCUCACGACACGAGCUGACGACAGCCAUGCAGCACCUGUGUUCAAAUUCCCUUUCGGGCACGAAUUUAUCUCUAAAAACUUUUUGACAUGUCAAGGGUAGGUAAGGUUUUUCGCGUUGCAUCGAAUUAAUCCACAUAAUCCACCGCUUGUGCGGGUCCCCGUCAAUUCCUUUGAGUUUUAAUCUUGCGACCGUACUCCCCAGGCGGUCAACUUCACGCGUUAGCUACGUUACCAAGCCUAGUAAGACCCGACAACUAGUUGACAUAGUUUAGGGCGUGGACUAC